rnacentral:rRNA from 1 species
UACGGAGGAUCCAAGCGUUACCCGGAAUUACUGGGCGUAAAGAGUUGCGUAGGCGGUUUGCCAAGUUUUUGCUUAAAUACCAGGGCCCAACUCUGGGAGUGGCAAAAAAACUGGCAGACUCGAGGAAGGCAGAGGCAAGUGGAAUUUGUGGAGUAGGGGUGAAAUCCGUAGAUACCACAAGGAACACCAAUGGCGUAGGCAGCUUGCUGGGCCUUUCCUGACGCUGAGGCACGAAAGCGUGGGUAGCGAACCGG